UUGACCUCGAAUCAGGUAGGAAUACCCGCUGAACUUAAGCAUAUCAAUAAGCGGAGGAAAAGAAACCAACCGGGAUUACCUCAGUAACGGCGAGUGAAGCGGUAACAGCUCAAAUUUGAAAUCUGGCUCUUGCGGAGUCCGAGUUGUAAUUUGUAGAAGAUGCUUUGGGUUGUGGGUUCGGCCUAAGUUCCUUGGAACAGGACGUCAUAGAGGGUGAGAAUCCCGUAUGUGGCCGAGGCCCGCGCCUAUGUAAAGCUCUUUCAACGAGUCGAGUUGUUUGGGAAUGCAGCUCAAAAUGGGUGGUAAAUUUCAUCUAAAGCUAAAUAUGGGCCAGAGACCGAUAGCGCACAAGUAGAGUGAUCGAAAGAUGAAAAGCACUUUGGAAAGAGAGUUAAACAGUACGUGAAAUUGUUGAAAGGGAAGCGCUUGCAACCAGACUUGGGCGCUGCCGAUCACCUUGAGUUUUCUCGAGUGCACUCGACAGCGCACAGGCCAGCAUCGGUUCGGGUGGCUGGAUAAAGGCCGUAGGAAUGUGGCUCUCUUCGGGGAGUGUUAUAGCCUACGGUGCCAUGCAGCCCAGCCGGACCGAGGACCGCGCCUUCGGGCUAGGAUGCUGGCGUAAUGGUUGUAAGCGACCCGUCUUGAAACACGGACCAAGGAGUCUAACAUCUAUGCGAGUGUUUGGGUGGUAAACCCAUACGCGGAAUGAAAGUGAACGUAGGUGAGAACCCCUUUGGGGCGCAUCAUCGACCGAUCCUGAUGUCUUCGGAUGGAUUUGAGUAAGAGCAUAGCUGUU
rnacentral:rRNA from 1 species